AGAAUCAACGCUGGCGGCGUGCCUAACACAUGCAAGUCGCACGAGAAAGUGGAGCAAUCCAUGAGUACAGUGGCGCACGGGUGAGUAACACGUGAAUCAUCUACCUUCGAGUGGGGAAUAACUGAGAGAAAUCUUGGCUAAUACCGCAUAAUACCUACGGGUCAAAGCAGUAAUGCGCUUGAAGAGGAGUUCGCGGCAGAUUAGUUAGUUGGCGGGGUAAUGGCCCACCAAGACGAUGAUCUGUA
rnacentral:rRNA from 1 species